rnacentral:rRNA from 1 species
UACGUAGGGGGCUAGCGUUGUCCGGAAUCAUUGGGCGUAAAGCGCGCGUAGGCGGCCCGGUAAGUCCGCUGUGAAAGUCAAAGGCUCAACCUUUGAAUGUCAGCGGAUACUGCCAGGCUAGAGUCCGGAAGAGGCGAGUGGAACUCCUGGUGUAGCGGUGAAAUGCGUAGAUAUCGGAAGGAACAUCAGUGGCGAAAGCGACUUCCUGGACCAAUACUGACGCUCAUGUGCGAAAGCGUGGGGAGCAAACAGG